AACCUUAUGGACCUGCGGGCGUAUACCUGCGGAGGGAUCAUUACAAGUUGAAACGGUUGCCCUCGCGGUGACCGGUUCUUCAAACCUCUGCGUACCAAACCUUUCAGUUGCCUCCGGCGGCCCUGGGCCGACGCGGCGCGCGACCUCCCCGUUCGCGGGGGGGCCGCUCCUCGCGGCGGACCACCCGCCGGGCGGCCGUAAACAAAACCUUUUGUCGAGAUGGCAUCGUCUAAUUUCUUC
rnacentral:misc_RNA from 1 species